UGAGAGAGUAAUGGAUUCUGGGUUAGGUUGUGGUGGGAAUUUUUAACUGAGCUAUUAGCAUUUAUCUUGUGCAGAUACCUUGGCAUAGUUUCUGUAAGGACAGAUGUUUAUUCAUUUUGAAUUGUUCUAUUGCAACUGAUAUCAGGAUGCAAUGUGAUCAAUGAAAAUCAAGAAGAGCAAAGCCAGUCUCUACUUCGAUGGGCAGAAGUGCUGAUCGAAAAGGUUGCAUUACAUGAACUGAUUAAUCCUCGUAUUGGAGAAUCCUACGGCACAUACGAACUAUACCAUAUGGCUAGGACAACGUACUUGUGUGUUAGGAGAAGACUGGAAAUGUGCCCAUCCAUGAGAGAGGUGGGGAGAAGUCAAGCUAUAUGACCAGUUAGGGUUAGAAGGGAUGCUGCAGCUCGUGUUAUGCAGGGUUGGCACUCUCAACGUCUUCUUAGCAAUGGUUAUGUUGGCGACUCACUUAUCAAGGUUUGUGAAGAUUAUCAAAUGUUAUGUUUAUGCAUUUGGUUUUGUGCUCAUACCAUGUUGUAAAAUUUCUUCCAUGUGAAUAAAUAUGUUGGAUCAG